AUUCGAGCUGGGUCAAGAAAUCGAAAAUCUACACUAGCCGGGUGUCGGGUUUAUUCGGGUUGUAUAUUAGUUGGGUGUCGGGUUUAUGCGGGUAAUAUAAUAAUUGGGUCCCGGAAUCCCGCAGGUCAUACUAGUCGACUGUAGUACCGCAAUAUUAUUAAUAAUUAAAAUAGUUUGGAAGUUUAGAAAAAUAAAACACGUUAUUAUUUGUCUUAAUAUCUAUCAGUUUAUGAGCAUUUUUUUAUGACGCUUAAAUUGAUACUAACGUUCAAAUGGAAAGUUCAGAAAAAAAAAACCCCGUAGUGACUGUAUUUUACAAGAAGUCGAAUUUAUAAAGGAUAGAACGAAUCACAGGAAAAAUAGAUUCUAUAAUAGGUCCUAAGUAAAAAUAAAGAUAAUUUUUUUUUUUUUUUAUCGCAGCUAGUCAACAUAUUACUUACCGAAAUCCGGGACCAAAACUAGUAUACAGUACCCGAAAUUCGUCGGAUCCCAAUGCUAGUGUAUUUUCCGGGACACGACUCGGAUGCAAUCGUUACAGAAUCCGUACCACUAUCAUUAUAUUCGCUGAUUCCGAUUCCGACACAAUGUCCUAGCGUAUUAUAGCGUUUCCCGUUCAUCGCAGUAAUCUUCUUCUCCCCGACGUCCGUUUUCACACUACUACCCGUGCAGCGGUCUCCUUCUCCUUAUCUGCGACUAUCCGCUGUACGCUGUGUGUCUUCUGUUCUCGACUAUCCUCUACCCCCCCACCCCUCCGUAAAUUUUCCGCGAGAUGUUUUCUUCUAUACAAUAUUAUUACAACAAUGACAAAUGUAUAGUAUACAAUGUAGCCAUAAUAAGUGACAAAGAAAUCUAAAUAAAUAAAGUUUAAAAUACGGAACAAUUAUACGUGUGCGUGUUUAAAAGUGUAUAAUGCGUAAACGGCGCGAAACCGCGAUGAUAUGGUAGUGAUACGAAUAAUACCGUGACGGUAUUUCAUUAUAAUAUAGGUUCGUACACGUGUAAUUGGUAGGCAUAACGUGAUAAUAGACAAAAAAUAAAAAAAAAAAACAAAUAAAACAAACGGAAAUCGUCAUUCGUGACUAUAGUAAUGAUAAUAAUAAAAAAACGAAAAUUCCCGACCCGUCAGAUACACGUUAUUCGUGUAUGGCAUUGUUUUCAGAACAAAAAAAAAAAAACAAAACAAAACAGGAAGAAGAAUCGCGAAUCUAAAGGCGGUAGGCAUUCCGCGAUGUGUUAUUACUCGCAUUCGUAGAACAGCGUCGACGAGUCGAAGUCGUUCGACUUUUAUUCUUUCGAUUUUCGAUUAUCGCAUUAUGUACGCCCGUGUAAUAGUGGUGAAGUAUUCCCGAAUGAGUGACGCGUGAAAUUCGGAAUACCCCCGGAACACAUCAUAAUGCGCGUAGUUUUUGGAGAGAUAAACGGACUCGUUCCGUCUGUGUACGAGGUCAAUCUUAUUUCCAGAAAGAAAAAUCCAAAAACCCUCCCCGUAACAAUAUGUGUUUCGAACAGUCGUUUUUCGGCGAACCCCGGGGGGGUAAUAGCUAUUAACAACGCUGUGCUAUGAGAGUGCACGCGUCCAGCGGAAUACCGGGCUGAACCAUCGAACGAAAAUGUCGGACACCGGGCGAGAGAAUACGAAC